rnacentral:tRNA from 1 species
AGAGAUGAAGUAUAUAAUGUACGUUUUAUUUACACUAAAAAGGUUUUCAAUUAGAAACGUCUCUA